UGAGGAAUAUUGGUCAAUGGGCGAAAGCCUGAACCAGCAACGCCGCGUGAGGGAUGAAGGCCUUCGGGUCGUAAACCUCUUUUCUGGGAGACGAGACAAGGACGGUAUCCCAGGAAUAAGUCUCGGCUAACUACGUGCCAGCAGCCGCGGUAAAACGUAGGAGGCAAGCGUUAUCCGGAUUUACUGGGCGUAAAGCGCACGCAGGCGGCUGCGUAAGUCGGACGUGAAAGCUCCUGGCUCAACUGGGAGAGGUCGUUCGAAACUGCGCGGCUUGAGGUUGGAAGAGGAGAGCGGAAUUCCCGGUGUAGUGGUGCAAUGCGUAGAUAUCGGGAGGAACACCAGUGGCGAAAGCGGCUCUCUGGUCCACACCUGACGCUCAGGGGCGAAAGCGUGGGUAGUGAACGG
rnacentral:rRNA from 1 species